GGAGGGGUGCUAGAGUGGACGAAUAGACCGGUCUUGAAAACCGGCGUCGUGCAAGCGACCGUGGGUUCGAAUCCCACCCCCUCCGCCA
rnacentral:tRNA from 1 species